ensembl:snoRNA
UGCCUGCAGUUCCCUUCCCCAUCAGAGCUCAACAGUGGUCUCAUGGUGGUUGUUAAUGGAGGGAGAGUGAUAUUGAAGCUGGUCUCCCAGCGUUGUACUCUGGUAUAUAGCAUAUGGGAUAGUUUCAAAUAGAG